ACUGCGCGGUAAUUCCAGCUCCAAUAGCGUAUAUUAAAGUUGUUGCAGUUAAAACGCUCGUAGUCGGAUUUGGGGCGGGUCGGCCGGUCUGCCGAUGGGUAUGCACUGGCUGGCGCGUCUUUUUUCCCGGAGACCGCGCCUACUCAUAAUUGAGCGGGAGCGGGAGACGGGACGUUUACUUUGAAAAAAUCAGAGUGUUUCAAGCAGGCCGUCGCUCUUGCAUGGGAUGAUGCAACAGGACUCUGGUGCUAUUUUGUUUGUUUCGAACACCGGAGCAUUGAUAGACAGGGACAGUCAGGGACAGUAUUCCGUCGGAGAGGUGAAAUUCUCAGACCAGCGGAAGCCGAACCACUGCGGAAGCAUUUGCCAGGGAUGUUUUCACUGAUC
rnacentral:rRNA from 1 species